rnacentral:misc_RNA from 1 species
AAAAAUGGAAACAAAGAGAGACAAUUUAAGAACAUAGUCUUCCAUUCAUCCCUUCAUUUAUAUAUACAGACUACCAUAAAACCUAGAAGCUUCGACUAAACCAACAGAAAAACAUAAUUGAUUUCACCUAAUAUCUAUGGAAUCUAAGACCCAGAAACACCAAUUACUAAAAAACCAACUUUAACCCUCAACCCUAGAAACCUUCUCUUAUCCUUCCACCUAAUCUUCAUCUGCAGAGGGCUUUGAUGAGCCAGCUUUCUUAGGAAGCAAAAGGUUAUGGAUGUUGGGCAUAACACCACCAUUAGCAAUGGUCACAUCACCAAGCAGCUUGCUCAGCUCUUCAUCGUUCCUCACAGCCAACUGAAUAUGCCUUGGGACUAUCCUAGUCUUCUUGUUAUCCCUAGCUGCAUUUCCAGCUAAUUCAAGCACCUCAGCAGCAAGGUAUUCGAGAACAGCUGCAAGGUACACGGGAGCUCCAGCACCAACACGCUCGGCAUACUUGCCGGCUUUCAGAAAACGAGCAAUACGACCGACCGGAAAUUGAAGACCGGCUUUGCUACUCCGAGAUUGAGCCUUCUUUGCUGCACCGGAACCAAGAGUCUUGCCUCUUCCUGCCAUCGGAAUCUCUGUAUAACACACAAAAAAUAUGAAUAGGACUUAUGCUGUAUAGAGAGAAACGGUGGCAGGAAGAGGCAAGACUCUU